UGGCUGCCGUCAGGAGAGAGCAACCCCGGUUGCCGCCGAAGGCGCAGAGCGAAGUUGGAAACAUCGCGCUCGAACGCUCAGGCAAAAGGACUGACAAGCGCUU
rnacentral:ncRNA from 2 species